rnacentral:rRNA from 1 species
CCUACGGGGGGCUGCAGUGGGGAAUAUUGGACAAUGGGGGCAACCCUGAUCCAGCCAUGCCACGUGUGUGAAGAAGGCCCUCGGGUUGUAAAGCACUUUCAGUGAGGAAGAACGCCUGGUGGUUAAUACCCAUCAGGAAAGACAUCACUCACAGAAGAAGCACCGGCUAACUCCGUGCCAGCAGCCGCGGUAAUACGGAGGGUGCGAGCGUUAAUCGGAAUUACUGGGCGUAAAGCGCGCGUAGGUGGCUUGAUAAGCCGGUUGUGAAAGCCCCGGGCUCAACCUGGGAACGGCAUCCGGAACUGUCAAGCUAGAGUGCAGGAGAGGAAGGUAGAAUUCCCGGUGUAGCGGUGAAAUGCGUAGAGAUCGGGAGGAAUACCAGUGGCGAAGGCGGCCUUCUGGACUGACACUGACACUGAGGUGCGAAAGCGUGGGUAGCAAACAGGAUUAGAUACCCCUGUAGUC